AAUAAGUGCAGCUAUGAGUUUCCGCGCCCAACUUUGAUCGUCCGUUUUAUUUGAAAUUUUUUUAUAAUUAGCAGUUUUGUUGUUAUAAGAUGAUAAAACAUGAAUAAUACUUUACUCAUGACUUAUGUUUUUAAUUUCUUUCAAAAAAAAUUUCAAAUAAGACGAACGGUCAAAGUUAGAUGCUGAAAACCAUGAUUGUACUUAUU
rfam:Oryza sativa Japonica Group DNA, chromosome 3, cultivar: Nipponbare, complete sequence.